rnacentral:lncRNA from 1 species
UAAAAGGAGGGAAACAUUAACAGACAUACAACAUUUUACAACAUAUCACAAGCACAAUACAGACAAUAGGGACUUUAGUUUUGAUCAGUUGAAGGAUACAAAUGUCAAUGUGUGGGAAAUUUUUCUUAAAACUUGUUCAUGUAUUAUUUUGAUCCAUUUUCUGUGGCAUUUGUUGCAAUAAACCUCUGGAAUUUAUCUUGAAAAAAACCUCAAAAUUCCAUUUAUGUACUAUUUGGAAAAACACAGACCUACAAAAAUGGUAAACAGAUGACUAGGUAGUUGUCAGUGGUUUUCAAAGGAGGAAAAAGGGUUGAAUAGGUGCUACACAGUAGAUUUUUAUGAUGGUAAAACUAUUCUGUAUGAUACUAUAAUGGUCGAUAUACAACAUUUUUCAAACCCCAUGAAAUAUUAUACCACAUAGGGUAAAUUUUUAUGUAUACCAAUUUUUCAAAAAUAUUUAAGAAGUCACCAUAGGAUCAACCUCUGGAUGAGAUGCAGAACUUGAAAAAAGCCUCUGAUUAUAUUAUAAGAAAAAAACAACUUCACUAAGUGGGUGUGCAGAAAAGGACUGUCCUAAGUAGCUUGGGAAUCAUAGACUAUAUAAGGGUAAACGUAAAAGGAAUUCUAUAGAACCAUGUAUUAAACAUUUGAAAUUCUCCA